GAUGAACGCUAGCGGCAGGCUUAAUACAUGCAAGUCGAGGGGCAGCACGGUUAGCAAUAACUGGUGGCGAGUGGCGAACGGGUGAGUAAUAUAUCGGAACGUACCCUGGAGUGGGGGAUAACGUAGCGAAAGUUACGCUAAUACCGCAUACGAUCUAAGGAUGAAAGUGGGGGAUCGCAAGACCUCAUGCUCCUGGAGCGGCCGAUAUCUGAUUAGCUAGUUGGUGGGGUAAAGGCCUACCAAGGCAUCGAUCAGUAGCUGGUCUGAGAGGACGACCAGCCACACUGGGACUGAGACACGGCCCAGACUCCUACGGGAGGCAGCAGUGGGGAAUUUUGGACAAUGGACGCAAGUCUGAUCCAGCCAUGCCGCGUGCGGGAAGAAGGCCUCGG
rnacentral:rRNA from 1 species